GAGGAUAUAGCUCAGCGGCAGAGCACUUGCUUAGCAAGCGUGAGGUCCUGGGUUCAACCCCCAGUAACUCCA
rnacentral:tRNA from 1 species